CCCUUAGAUGUUCUGGGCUGCACGCGCGCUACACUGAUGCGUUCAACGAGUUUAUGACCUUGCCCGAUAGGGUUGGGUAAUCUUUUUAAAUCGCAUCGUGAUGGGGAUAGAUUAUUGCAAUUAUUAAUCUUCAACGAGGAAUUCCUAGUAAGCGCGAGUCAUCAGCUCGUGCUGAUUACGUCCCUGCCCUUUGUACACACCGCCCGUCGCUACUACCGAUUGAACGUUUUAGUGAGGUAUUUGGACUGGACCUUCGGAGGUUCGCGCCUCCGUUGCUGUUCGGGAAGACUCCCAAACUUGAGCGUUUAGAGGAAGUAAAAGUCGUAACA
rnacentral:rRNA from 1 species